rnacentral:lncRNA from 8 species
CAUCCUUGCAGACAUGAACCUUGACAACCUGUCUCACUCACGCCUGCCCAUAAAGAAACCACGGUGCUAGAAGAGAGACGUGUGUGGGAGGAUAUGAAGAAACUGUGUAAUGAUGUCAUAGUUGAGUAUGUGUCACAUAAGUGAAAAGUAUAUAAGCAGCAGUAAUGUUAAGUCGGACAACUGACACCCAGCACUUGACGACAGGAUCGACUCAACUCUGUUCGGAGUGAACCCAUUGACAGAUGCUAGGAAAGCUACUGAAGUCUCAUGGCAUCAUCAUUCGUCAGAGACAAAUUAACUGAGUGGAACCACAGUGACUUGAUUCAGAGGUUUGAAGAUGAAGAAGUCGAUGAAGAAGGUUUCCUCUCCCUUGAGGAGACUGACCUCAUCCACUUGAUCCCAAAAACAGGACCAAGGUCUAGAUUUAGAAAAAAUCACAACGCAUUUCUGAAGAAACGACAGCAAACCAAUGAUGACAAGAACAUUCAAGAGGCCACGUCUUUAUCAGCCUCCAUUAAGGACUCCAAGAGUUCCUCAGGAAAUGUUACUUGUGAGAUGAUCAAUCAAGUGCCUCGUCAAAAGGCCAUCAUAAAACCCCUCAGAAAUCAAACUUCUAAACGCUCAGAGAUUAAAACGUCAUUGGAUAAACCCUUUGGUACACUUGGAGGAAGUGUGCCCACAACUGACACCUCUGGAGUGGGAGAAACAGUGUAUGACCAGAGUGAACCCUCAACCAGUAAGAUACUCCCUCUUCCAGUGAAUAUCCCAGGUAAAAAGCAUAGAUGUUUCAGAUUUACACGUACAGAAAAACAACACAAAAAUACUACUUUUACAAGAUGACAAUGAGAAACAGGUAGUGAUACUAUAUCAGUUUAUUUUCAAAAUAAUGUAAUACAAAUCACUCAGUUAAUCAUAAUUCAUACUAUUGAAUAAUUAGAUACUUUACACUUGAGUUGCAAGUACCCUUUGUACCGUGUACCAUAUGCAUACAGUAAGUAGACAAUCACAGACUGAUACAACUAAUUUGCAUAACAGCAUUGGCUAUAACGAGAUUGGAAGAUCUGUGACUGCUGCUGGAUGAUUUGUGUAUUAAUUAAUAAAAGAUGUUUCCAAUUGUUUCCAGGCAAAAGGAAAUCUGAUGAGACCCAUGCAAACAAACAAACAAACAAACGUCAACAUGGUGCUGCAUCCAGAAUAACUGAAAUAUUUGGUAGGUGGAUGAUGGUGUUUAUAUGGACCACAAUCGUUUUAAUCCUUUACACUUGUGGGAAUUGACUUAUAUGGAUAGGACUUAAUUGAAAUGUUCUUACAGAAGAAAAAUGGAAAGCAUAUGCAUAACCAUGGUAGCAAUUAACUUCUUACAUCUAGUCGUUCCGCUAGCGGAACCCCGUUCCGCCAGCGGGACCCCUAGCCAACAGCCAAUGGGAUCGCAUGGCGCGAAAUACAAAAACAACUAAAAUACCACAAUUCAAUUUUCUCAAACAAUCAACUAUUUUACACCAUUUUAAAGAUAAGACUCUCGUUAACCUGUUAGGGCUAGGGGGCAGUAUUUACACGGCCGGAUAAAAAACGUACCCGAUUUAAUCUGGUUAUUACUACUGCCCAGAAACUAGAAUAUGCAUAUAAUUAUUGGCUUUGGAUAGAAACCACCCUAAAGUUUUUAAAACUGUUUGAAUGGUGUCUGUGAGUAUAACAGAACUCAUAUGGCAGGCAAAAACCUGAGAAGAUUCUGUACAGGAAGUGCCCUCUCUGACCAUUCCUUGAGCUUCUUGGCUCUGUUUAUUGAAAACUGAGGAUCUUUGCUGUAACGUGACACUUCCUACGGCUCCCAUAGGCUCUCAGAACCCGGGAAAAAGCUGAAUGAUGUAAUUCCAGCCUCUGGAUGAAAAACAUUACCGCCUUCGGUAAGUGCUCUAUCAGAGGACCAUCAGACUGAGGCUCGUGCCCGAGGGGAUACCAUGUUUUUAUUUUCUCUCUCUUUGAACGUAAACACGCUUUCCCGGUCGGAAUAUUAUCGCUUUUUUACGAGAAAAAUGGCAUAAAAAUUGAUUUUAAACAGCGGUUGACAUGCUUCGAAGUACGGUAAUGGAAUAUUUAGAAAUGUUUUGUCAAGAAACGCGUCAUGCGCGUCACCCUUCUUUACACUUCGGAUAGUGUCUUGAACGCACGAACAAAACAGAGGAUAUUUGAACAUAACUAUGGAUUAUUUUGAACCAAACCAACAUUUGUUAUUGAAGUAGAAGUCCUGGGAGUGCAUUCUGACGAAGAACAGCAAAGGUAUUAACAUUUUUCUUAUAGUAAAUCUGACUUUGGUGAGGGCUAAACUUGCCGGGUGUCUAAAUAGCUAGCCCUGUGAUGCCGGGCUAUCUACUGAGAAUAUUGCAAAAUGUGCUUUCACCGAAAAGCUAUUUUAAAAUCGGACAUAGCGAGUGCAUAGAGGAGUUCUGUAUCUAUAAUUCUUAAAAUAAUUGUUAUGUUUUUUGUGAACGUUUAUCAUGAGUAAUUAAGUAAAUUCACCGGAAGUUUGCGGGGGGUAUGCUAGUUCUGAACGUCACAUGCUAAUGUAAAAAGCUGGUUUUUGAUAUAAAUAUGAACUUGAUUGAACAAAACAUGCAUGUAUUGUAUAACAUAAUGUCCUAAGAUUGUCAUCUGAUGAAGAUCAUCAAAGGUUAGUGCUGCAUUUAGCUGUGGUUUGGGUUUAUGUGACAUUAUAUGCUAGCUUGAAAAAUGGGUGUCUGAUUAUUUCUGGCUGGGUACUCUGCUGACAUAAUCUAAUGUUUUGCUUUCGUUGUAAAGCCUUUUUGAAAUCGGACAGUGUGGUUAGAUUAACGAGAGUCUUGUCUUUAAAAUGGUGUAAAAUAGUAAUAUGUUUGAGAACUUGAAGUAAUAGCAUUUCUAAG